CCUACGGGAGGCAGCAGUGAGGAAUCUUGGUCAAUGCACGAGCGUCUGAACCAGCCAAGUAUCGUGAAGGAUGACUGCCCUAUGGGUUGUAAACUUCUUUUAUAUGGGAAUAAAAUGUUCCACGUGUGGGAUUUUGUAUGUACCCUAUGAAUAAGGAUCGGCUAACUCCGUGCCAGCAGCCGCGGUAAUACGGAGGAUCCGAGCGAUAUCCGGAUUUAUUGGGUUUAAAGGGAGCGUAGGUGGAUUGUUAAGUCAGUUGGGAAAGUUUGCGGGUCAACCGUAAAAUUGCAGUUGAAACUGGCAGUCUUGAGUACAGUAGAGGUGGGCGGAAUGCGUGGUGUAGCGGUGAAAUGCUUAGAUAUCACGAAGAACUCCGAUUGCGAAGGCAGUUCACUGGACUGCAACUGACACUGAGGCUCGAAAGUGUGGGUAUCAAACAGGAUUAGAUACCCUUGUAGUC
rnacentral:rRNA from 1 species